rnacentral:rRNA from 1 species
GAUGAACGCUGGCGGCGUGCCUAAUACAUGCGAGUCGAGCGAACGGACGAGAAGCUUGCUUUUCUGAUGUUAGCGGCGGACGGGUGAGUAACACGUGGAUAACCUACCUAUAAGACUGGGAUAACUUCGGGAAACCGGAGCUAAUACCGGAUAAUAUUUUGAACCGCAUGGUUCAAAAGUGAAAGACGGUCUUGCUGUCACUUAUAGAUGGAUCCGCGCUGCAUUAGCUAGUUGGUAAGGUAACGGCUUACCAAGGCAACGAUGCAUAGCCGACCUGAGAGGGUGAUCGGCCACACUGGAACUGAGACACGGUCCAGACUCCUACGGGAGGCAGCAGUAGGGAAUCUUCCGCAAUGGGCGAAAGCCUGACGGAGCAACGCCGCGUGAGUGAUGAAGGUCUUCGGAUCGUAAAACUCUGUUAUUAGGGAAGAACAUAUGUGUAAGUAACUAUGCACAUCUUGACGGUACCUAAUCAGAAAGCCACGGCUAACUACGUG